rnacentral:rRNA from 1 species
AUUGAACGCUGGCGGCAUGCUUUACACAUGCAAGUCGAACGGUAACAGGCCGCAAGGUGCUGACGAGUGGCGAACGGGUGAGUAAUGCAUCGGAACGUGCCCAGUCGUGGGGGAUAACUACUCGAAAGAGUAGCUAAUACCGCAUACGAUCUAUGGAUGAAAGCGGGGGACCGUAAGGCCUCGCGCGAUUGGAGCGGCCGAUGUCAGAUUAGGUAGUUGGUGGGGUAAAGGCUCACCAAGCCAACGAUCUGUAGCUGGUCUGAGAGGACGACCAGCCACACUGGGACUGAGACACGGCCCAGACUCCUACGGGAGGCAGCAGUGGGGAAUUUUGGACAAUGGGCGCAAGCCUGAUCCAGCAAUGCCACGUGCGGGAAGAAGGCCUUCGGGUUGUAAACUGCUUUUGUACGGAACGAAACGGCUCUGGUUAAUACCCGGGGCUAAUGACGGUACCGUAAGAAUAAGCACCGGCUAACUACGUG